rnacentral:rRNA from 1 species
CCUACGGGAGGCUGCAGUGAGGAAUAUUGGUCAAUGGGCGCUAGCCUGAACCAGCCAAGUAGCGUGAAGGAUGACUGCCCUAUGGGUUGUAAACUUCUUUUAUAUGGGAAUAAAGUGCAGUAUGUAUACUGCUUUGCAUGUACCUUAUGAAUAAGGAUCGGCUAACUCCGUGCCAGCAGCCGCGGUAAUACGGAGGAUCCGAGCGUUAUCCGGAUUUAUUGGGUUUAAAGGGAGCGUAGGCGGGUUGUUAAGUCAGUUGUGAAAGUUUGCGGCUCAACCGUAAAAUUGCAGUUGAUACUGGCAGCCUUGAGUACAGUAGAGGUAGGCGGAAUUCGUGGUGUAGCGGUGAAAUGCUUAGAUAUCACGAAGAACUCCGAUUGCGAAGGCAGCCUGCUAGACUGUAACUGACGCUGAUGCUCGAAAGUGUGGGUAUCAAACAGGAUUAGAUACCCCUGUAGUC